AUAAAGUUUUAUUUUGGCUUUAGAUUUUAUUAUUGAUUUAUUUUAUAUGUAAGUUUUUGCAUGAAUUUUUAUUUAUUUUAAUAAUAAAUUUUUUUUUUAUAAUCUCAGUAAUUAAUUUUAUUAAUCAAAGAAAUUUGGAAAUAGUAAUUUUAAAAAGUAUUGGUUAAAUUUGUGCCAGCAGCCGCGGUUAUACAAAUAAUACAAAUAAAAUUUGUUUGGUGUAAGUUAAAAAUAAUUAUUAAGUUAUUAGAAUAAAUAUAAAUUUAUUAGGUGAAAUUUUAAAUUUAUAAAUUUUUAAUAAAAUAAUUUUUGAAGCUUGUAAAUUUUAAAUAAAAACUAGGAUUGGAUACCCUAUUAUUAAAAAUGUAAUAAAUAACACUAAGGUAGUAUUAGUUAUGUUCUUGAAACUUAAAAAAUUUGGCGGUAAUUUAGUCUAUUCAGAGGAACCUGUCCUGUAAUUGAUAAUCCACGAUGUACCUUACUUAAAUUUGUAUUUCAGUUUAUAUACCGUCGUUAUCAGAAUAUUUUAUUAGAAUAAUAAUUUUCAAUAAUUCUUAUUAAAAUGUACAUCAGAUCAAGGUGUAGCUUAUAUUUAAGAAGAGAUGGGUUACAAUAAAUUUAUUUAAAUGGAUUUAAUAUUGAAAAAAUAUUAAUAAAAGUGGAUUUGAAAGUAAAGUUUUAAAGAUAAAAAAUUUGAUUUUAGCUCUAAAAUAUGCACACAUCGCCCGUCGCUCUUAUUAUUAAGGUAAGAUAAGUCGUAACAUAGUAGAUGUACCGGAAGGUGUAUCUAGAAUGAC
rnacentral:ncRNA from 1 species